rnacentral:snRNA from 1 species
CUGCUGACUUCAGCAGCACAUAUACUAAAAAUUGGAAUGAUAACAGAGAAGAUUAUCAUGGCCCCUGCACAAGGAUGACAUGCAAAUUCUUGAAGUGUUCCAUAUUUGU